rnacentral:rRNA from 1 species
UACGUAGGGGGCAAGCGUUGUCCGGAUUUAUUGGGCGUAAAGAGCGUGUAGGCGGCCAGAUAGGUCCGUUGUGAAAACUGGAGGCUUAACCCUCCAGCGGUCGAUGGAAACCAUUUGGCUAGAGUCCGGAAGAGGAGAGUGGAAUUCCUGGUGUAGCGGUGAAAUGCGCAGAUAUCAGGAAGAACACCCUGGCGAAGGCGCUCUGUG